GUGUUACGUCAUACGUCAAACAAAUUAUGUAUAUAGCUUGCUCAAGUCGAAUUAGUGCCAUAGACGCACACCGUAAAUAUUCCAUUUUAUAAUGUCUAUUGUUAAAUAAAACAACAUUUUUAUCGAGAGACUUAAUCUGUUUAUCAGAAGAAUUGCAUAUGUUGGAGCACAAUCUUCAUGUUAUCAAGAAUUUUAAAGAACGGCUUUGUGCUCAUACACUAUUUUAUUCAUUUACUAGAAGGAAAUUACACAGAAUAGUUCUUAGAAUUUGAUUGAAAAUGAAGAUGCAGAUAAUGACUAUUUUGUGCUUCUCUGGAGCAACUGCAUAGUUCACGAAGGCAGCUUUGGUGCAGAUUGAAAAUUCAAACUCUACACAGAGCCCAUCACAAUGGAUUGUUUGAUCCUGGUUCAACUGCCAAUUCAAAAA